rnacentral:rRNA from 1 species
CUCGGAUCAGGUAGGAAUACCCGCUGAACUUAAGCAUAUCAAUAAGCGGAGGAAAAGAAACCAACAGGGAUUGCCUCAGUAACGGCGAGUGAAGCGGCAACAGCUCAAAUUUGAAAUCUGGCCCCCAGGCCCGAGUUGUAAUUUGUAGAGGAUGCUUCUGGCGACGCGACUUCCGAGUUCCCUGGAACGGGACGCCAAAGAGGGUGAGAGCCCCGUCCGGUCGUUCGCCUAGCCUCUGUGAAGCUCCUUCGACGAGUCGAGUAGUUUGGGAAUGCUGCUCUAAAUGGGAGGUAUACGUCUUCUAAAGCUAAAUACCGGCCAGAGACCGAUAGCGCACAAGUAGAGUGAUCGAAAGAUGAAAAGCACUUUGAAAAGAGGGUUAAAUAGUACGUGAAAUUGCUGAAAGGGAAGCGCUUAUGACCAGACUUGGGCCAGGUGAAUCAUCCGGCGUUCUCGCCGGUGCACUUUGCCUGCCCAGGCCAGCAUCAGUUCGCUUCGGGGGAUAAAGGCUUCGGGAAUGUGGCUCCUCCGGGAGUGUUAUAGACCGUUGCGUAAUACCCUGGGGCGGACUGAGGUACGCGUUCUGCAAGGAUGCUGGCGUAAUGGUCAUCAGUGACCCGUCUUG